rnacentral:rRNA from 1 species
AACGAACGCUGGCGGCAGGCUUAACACAUGCAAGUCGAGCGCCCCGCAAGGGGAGCGGCAGACGGGUGAGUAACGCGUGGGAACGUACCCUUUACUACGGAAUAACUCAGGGAAACUUGUGCUAAUACCGUAUGUGCCCUUUUGGGGAAAGAUUUAUCGGUAAGGGAUCGGCCCGCGUUGGAUUAGCUAGUUGGUGGGGUAAAGGCCUACCAAGGCGACGAUCCAUAGCUGGUCUGAGAGGAUGAUCAGCCACAUUGGGACUGAGACACGGCCCAAACUCCUACGGGAGGCAGCAGUGGGGAAUAUUGGACAAUGGGCGCAAGCCUGAUCCAGCCAUGCCGCGUGAGUGAUGAAGGCCCUAGGGUUGUAAAGCUCUUUCACCGGAGAAGAUAAUGACGGUAUCCGGAGAAGAAGCCCCGGCUAACUUCGUGCCAGCAGCCGCGGUAAGAC